rnacentral:rRNA from 1 species
UACUGGAAACGGUAGCUAAUACCGCAUAACGUCGCAAGACCAAAGUGGGGGACCUUCGGGCCUCACACCAUCGGAUGAACCCAGAUGGGAUUAGCUAGUAGGUGGGGUAAUGGCUCACCUAGGCGACGAUCCCUAGCUGGUCUGAGAGGAUGACCAGCCACACUGGAACUGAGACACGGUCCAGACUCCUACGGGAGGCAGCAGUGGGGAAUAUUGCACAAUGGGGGAAACCCUGAUGCAGCCAUGCCGCGUGUGUGAAGAAGGCCUUCGGGUUGUAAAGCACUUUCAGCGGGGAGGAAGGCGGUGGCGUUAAUAGCGCUAUCGAUUGACGUUACCCGCAGAAGAAGCACCGGCUAACUCCGUGCCAGCAGCCGCGGUAAUACGGAGGGUGCGAGCGUUAAUCGGAAUUACUGGGCGUAAAGCGUACGCAGGCGGUCUGUUAAGUCAGAUGUGAAAUCCCCGGGCUUAACCUGGGAACUGCAUUUGAAACUGGCAGGCUAGAGUCUCGUAGAGGGGGGUAGAAUUCCAGGUGUAGCGGUGAAAUGCGUAGAGAUCUGGAGGAAUACCGGUGGCGAAGGCGGCCCCCUGGACGAAGACUGACGCUCAGGUACGAAAGCGUGGGGAGCAAACAGGAUUAGAUACCCUGGUAGUCCACGCUGUAAACGAUGUCGAUUUGAAGGUUGUGGCCUUGAGCCGUGGCUUUCGGAGCUAACGCGUUAAAUCGACCGCCUGGGGAGUACGGCCGCAAGGUUAAAACUCAAAUGAAUUGACGGGGGCCCGCACAAGCGGUGGAGCAUGUGGUUUAAUUCGAUGCAACGCGAAGAACCUUACCUACUCUUGACAUCCAGAGAACAUGGCAGAGAUGCCUUGGUGCCUUCGGGAACUCUGAGACAGGUGCUGCAUGGCUGUCGUCAGCUCGUGUUGUGAAAUGUUGGGUUAAGUCCCGCAACGAGCGCAACCCUUAUCCUUUGUUGCCAGCGAUUCGGUCGGGAACUCAAAGGAGACUGCCGGUGAUAAACCGGAGGAAGGUGGGGAUGACGUCAAGUCAUCAUGGCCCUUACGAGUAGGGCUACACACGUGCUACAAUGGCGCAUACAAAGAGAAGCGAUCUCGCGAGAGUCAGCGGACCUCAUAAAGUGCGUCGUAGUCCGGAUUGGAGUCUGCAACUCGACUCCAUGAAGUCGGAAUCGCUAGUAAUCGUGGAUCAGAAU